rnacentral:rRNA from 1 species
CCUACGGGAGGCAGCAGUGAGGAAUAUUGGUCAAUGGGCGAGAGCCUGAACCAGCCAAGUCGCGUGCGGGAUGACGGUCCUAUGGAUUGUAAACCUCUUUUGUCGGGGAGCAAAAAGCGGUACGUGUACCGCAUCGAGAGUACCCGGAGAAAAAGCAUCGGCUAACUCCGUGCCAGCAGCCGCGGUAAUACGGAGGAUGCGGGCGUUAUCCGGAUUUAUUGGGUUUAAAGGGUGCGCAGGCGGCUGGUUAAGUCAGCGGUAAAAUUUCGGGGCUCAACCCCGCCAAGCGGUGGAAACUGGCUUGCUAGAGUGGGCGAGAGGUAUGCGGAAGGCGAGGUGUAGCGGUGAAAUGCGUAGAUAUCACGAAGAACUCCGAUUGCGAAGGCAGCAUACCGGGGCCCUACGGACGCUCAGGCACGAAAGCGUGGGUAUCGAACAGGAUUAGAUACCCGUGUAGUC